rnacentral:lncRNA from 1 species
UUGUUAUGGACCAUGAAAAUUCAGUUACUCCUACUUAUAUCAUAUAGAAAGUCCGGGGCUACAGUCGCGCAAGCCGUUAUUACUAUAACUGAGUGCUUGCUGGAGUUAGAAAGUGAGAGUCGUGGCUCGAAAGAAUUGGUUGGUUCUGAGAUGUUCGCUUCUCAUAUUGGAGCGUGUGUUUUAUUUGAGUUCUGAGAGAUGAGAGAUACACAGCUGAAACAGGAGAUGCAUGCAUGGUUCGUAGCCAGCUGAGUCCACAAAAACACGCAAGUCCCAGCUUACCAAGUGUCGGACAAUUUUUUGUUUUGACCUUUUACC